rfam:Gossypium raimondii Chr10_contig_610, whole genome shotgun sequence.
UAUAAAAAAUUUCAUCCAUUUUUACUGUUAAAAAUUGGUGUCGUUGAUGGAAUAACUAGACAGUGACAUGUAUCGCAUGUAUCUUAUGCUGCUAUACAAUGAUCAGUUUUUAGCAGUAGAAAUAGAUGAAAUUUUUAAUA